UUAAGCGACUAAGCGUACACGGUGGAUGCCCUGGCAGUCAGAGGCGAUGAAGGACGUGCUAAUCUGCGAAAAGCGUCGGUAAGGUGAUAUGAACCGUUAUAACCGGCGAUGUCCGAAUGGGGAAACCCAGUGUGAUUCGUCACACUAUCGUUAACUGAAUACAUAGGUUAACGAGGCGAACCGGGGGAACUGAAACAUCUAAGUACCCCGAGGAAAAGAAAUCAACCGAGAUUCCCCCAGUAGCGGCGAGCGAACGGGGAGCAGCCCAGAGUCUGAAUCAGCUUGUGUGUUAGUGGAACGGUCUGGAAAGUCCGACGGUACAGGGUGAUAGUCCCGUACACCAAAAUGCACAGGUUGUGAACUCGAAGAGUAGGGCGGGACACGUGGUAUCCUGUCUGAAUAUGGGGGGACCAUCCUCCAAGGCUAAAUACUCCUGACUGACCGAUAGUGAACCAGUACCGUGAGGGAAAGGCGAAAAGAACCCCGGCGAGGGGAGUGAAAAAGAACCUGAAACCGUGUACGUACAAGCAGUGGGAGCACCUUCGGGUGUGACUGCGUACCUUUUGUAUAAUGGGUCAGCGACUUAUAUUCUGUAGCAAGGUUAACCGUAUAGGGGAGCCGCAGGGAAACCGAGUCUUAACUGGGCGUUAAGUUGCAGGGUAUAGACCCGAAACCCGGUGAUCUAGCCAUGGGCAGGUUGAAGGUUGGGUAACACUAACUGGAGGACCGAACCGACUAAUGUUGAAAAAUUAGCGGAUGACUUGUGGCUGGGGGUGAAAGGCCAAUCAAACCGGGAGAUAGCUGGUUCUCCCCGAAAGCUAUUUAGGUAGCGCCUCGUGAACUCAUCUUCGGGGGUAGAGCACUGUUUCGGCUAGGGGGUCAUCCCGACUUACCAACCCGAUGCAAACUACGAAUACCGAAGAAUGUUAUCACGGGAGACACACGGCGGGUGCUAACGUCCGUCGUGAAGAGGGAAACAACCCAGACCGCCAGCUAAGGUCCCAAAGUCAUGGUUAAGUGGGAAACGAUGUGGGAAGGCACAGACAGCCAGGAUGUUGGCUUAGAAGCAGCCAUCAUUUAAAGAAAGCGUAAUAGCUCACUGGUCGAGUCGGCCUGCGCGGAAGAUGUAACGGGGCUAAACCAUGCACCGAAGCUGCGGCAGCGACACUAUGUGUUGUUGGGUAGGGGAGCGUUCUGUAAGCCUGCGAAGGUGUGCUGUGAGGCAUGCUGGAGGUAUCAGAAGUGCGAAUGCUGACAUAAGUAACGAUAAAGCGGGUGAAAAGCCCGCUCGCCGGAAGACCAAGGGUUCCUGUCCAACGUUAAUCGGGGCAGGGUGAGUCGACCCCUAAGGCGAGGCCGAAAGGCGUAGUCGAUGGGAAACAGGUUAAUAUUCCUGUACUUGGUGUUACUGCGAAGGGGGGACGGAGAAGGCUAUGUUAGCCGGGCGACGGUUGUCCCGGUUUAAGCAUGUAGGCUGGUUAUCCAGGCAAAUCCGGAUAAUCAAGGCUGAGGUGUGAUGACGAGGCACUACGGUGCUGAAGUAACAAAUGCCCUGCUUCCAGGAAAAGCCUCUAAGCAUCAGGUAACAUCAAAUCGUACCCCAAACCGACACAGGUGGUCAGGUAGAGAAUACCAAGGCGCUUGAGAGAACUCGGGUGAAGGAACUAGGCAAAAUGGUGCCGUAACUUCGGGAGAAGGCACGCUGGUGUGUAGGUGAAGUCCCUGCGGAUGGAGCUGAGACCAGUCGAAGAUACCAGCUGGCUGCAACUGUUUAUUAAAAACACAGCACUGUGCAAACACGAAAGUGGACGUAUACGGUGUGACGCCUGCCCGGUGCCGGAAGGUUAAUUGAUGGGGUUAUCCGUAAGGAGAAGCUCUUGAUCGAAGCCCCGGUAAACGGCGGCCGUAACUAUAACGGUCCUAAGGUAGCGAAAUUCCUUGUCGGGUAAGUUCCGACCUGCACGAAUGGCGUAAUGAUGGCCAGGCUGUCUCCACCCGAGACUCAGUGAAAUUGAACUCGCUGUGAAGAUGCAGUGUACCCGCGGCAAGACGGAAAGACCCCGUGAACCUUUACUAUAGCUUGACACUGAACAUUGAGCCUUGAUGUGUAGGAUAGGUGGGAGGCUUUGAAGCGUGGACGCCAGUCUGCGUGGAGCCAACCUUGAAAUACCACCCUUUAAUGUUUGAUGUUCUAACGUUGGCCCCUUACCGGGGUUGCGGACAGUGUCUGGUGGGUAGUUUGACUGGGGCGGUCUCCUCCCAAAGCGUAACGGAGGAGCACGAAGGUUAGCUAAUCCUGGUCGGACAUCAGGAGGUUAGUGCAAUGGCAUAAGCUAGCUUGACUGCGAGCGUGACGGCGCGAGCAGGUGCGAAAGCAGGUCAUAGUGAUCCGGUGGUUCUGAAUGGAAGGGCCAUCGCUCAACGGAUAAAAGGUACUCCGGGGAUAACAGGCUGAUACCGCCCAAGAGUUCAUAUCGACGGCGGUGUUUGGCACCUCGAUGUCGGCUCAUCACAUCCUGGGGCUGAAGUAGGUCCCAAGGGUAUGGCUGUUCGCCAUUUAAAGUGGUACGCGAGCUGGGUUUAGAACGUCGUGAGACAGUUCGGUCCCUAUCUGCCGUGGGCGCUGGAGAAUUGAGGGGGGCUGCUCCUAGUACGAGAGGACCGGAGUGGACGCAUCACUGGUGUUCGGGUUGUCAUGCCAAUGGCACUGCCCGGUAGCUAAAUGCGGAAGAGAUAAGUGCUGAAAGCAUCUAAGCACGAAACUUGCCCCGAGAUGAGUUCUCCCUGAGACUUUAAGUCUCCUGAAGGAACGUUGAAGACGAUGACGUUGAUAGGCCGGGUGUGUAAGCGCAGCGAUGCGUUGAGCUAACCGGUACUAAUGAACCGUGAGGCUUAACCUU
rnacentral:rRNA from 1 species